rnacentral:rRNA from 1 species
AGCAGCCGCGGUAAUUCCAGCUCCAAUAGCGUAUAUUAAAGUUGUUGCAGUUAAAAAGCUCGUAGUUGAAUUUCGGGAUCAAUAUAUCGGUCGUGCCUCUGGUACGUACUGGUAUCAUUGAUUUCUCCCUUCUGACGAACCAUGAUUUCAUUUAUUUGGUGUCAUGGGGAGUUAGGACCGUUACUUUGAAAAAAUUAGAGUGUUUAAAGCAGGCAUUAGCUUGAAUACAUUAGCAUGGAAUAAUGAAAUAGGACGUUUGACCCUAUUUUGUUGGUUUCUAGGAUCGACGUAAUGAUUAAUAGGGAUAGUUGGGGGCAUUAGUAUUCAAUUGUCAGAGGUGAAAUUCUUGGAUUUAUUGAAGACUAACUACUGCGAAAGCAUUUGCCAAGGAUGUUUUCAUUAAUCAAGAACGAAAGUUAGGGGAUCGAAGACGAUCAGAUACCGUCGUAGUCUUAACCAUAAACUAUGCCGACUAGGGAUCGGAUGAUGUUAAUUUUAUAAUGACUCA